rnacentral:rRNA from 1 species
CCUACGGGUGGCAGCAGUGAGGAAUAUUGGUCAAUGGGCGAGAGCCUGAACCAGCCAAGUCGCGUGAAGGAUGACUGCCCUAUGGGUUGUAAACUUCUUUUAUAUGGGAAUAAAGUGUUCCACGUGUGGGAUUUUGUAUGUACCAUAUGAAUAAGGAUCGGCUAACUCCGUGCCAGCAGCCGCGGUAAUACGGAGGAUUCGAGCGUUAUCCGGGUUUAUUGGGUUUAAAGGGAGCGUAGGUGGGUAGGUAAGGCAGGUGUGAAAGUUUGCGGCGCAACCGUAAAAUUGCAGUUGAAACUGGUAGUCUUGAGUAUAGUAGAGGUGGGCGGAAUGCGUGGUGUAGCGGUGAAAUGCAUAGAUAUCACGAAGAACUCCGAUUGCGAAGGCAGCUUACUGGACUGCAACUGACACUGAGGCACGAAAGUGUGGGUAUCAAACAGGAUUAGAUACCCCAGUAGUC